UACGUAGGGUGCAAGCGUUGUCCGGAAUUAUUGGGCGUAAAGAGCUCGUAGGCGGUUUGUUGCGUCGGCUGUGAAAUCCCGAGGCUCAACCUCGGGUCUGCAGUCGAUACGAGCAAACUAGAGUGUUGCAGGGGAGACUGGAAUUCCUGGUGUAGCGGUGAAAUGCGCAGAUAUCAGGAGGAACACCGGUGGCGAAGGCGGGUCUCUGGGCAACAACUGACGCUGGAGGAGCGAAAGCCGUGGGGGAGCGAACAGG
rnacentral:rRNA from 1 species